rnacentral:rRNA from 1 species
UAUUACAGAGUUUACAACUCCCAAACCCCUGUGAACAUACCAUUCAUUNCCUCGGCGGUGUCUUGCUUCGGCGAGCCCGCCAGAGGCCCCAACAAACUCUUGUUUUUUUAGUAUUAUCUGAGUGACAAGUUUAAUAAAUCAAAACUUUCACCAACGGAUCUCUUGGUUCUGGCAUCGAUGAAGAACGCAGCGAAAUGCGAUAAGUAAUGUGAAUUGCAGAAUUCAGUGAAUCAUCGAAUCUUUGAACGCACAUUGCGCCCGCCAGUAUUCUGGCGGGCAUGCCUGUUCGAGCGUCAUUUCAACCCUCAAACCCCCGGGUUUGGUGUUGGAGAUCGGCAUGAGUCCUUCGGGGCGACGCCGUCUCCCAAAUAUAGUGGCGGUCUCGCUGUAGCUUCCUAUGCGUAGUAGCACACCUCGCACUGGAAAGCAGCGCGGCCACGCCGUUAAACCCCCAACUUUUCUGAGUUUGACCUCGAAUCAGGUAGGAUUACCCGCUGAACUUAAGCAUAUCAAUAAGCGGAGGAAAAGAAACCAACAGGGAUUGCCCUAGUAACGGCGAGUGAAGCGGCAACAGCUCAAAUUUGAAAUCUGGCCUUCGGGUCCGAGUUGUAAUUUGUAGAGGAUGUUUUUGGUGAGGUACCUUCCGAGUUCCCUGGAACGGGACGCCAUAGAGGGUGAGAGCCCCGUCUGGUUGGAUACCGAUCCUCUGUAAAACUCCUUCAACGAGUCGAGUAGUUUGGGAAUGCUGCUCUAAAUGGGAGGUAUAUGUCUUCUAAAGCUAAAUAUUGGCCAGAGACCGAUAGCGCACAAGUAGAGUGAUCGAAAGAUGAAAAGCACUUUGAAAAGAGAGUUAAAAAGUACGUGAAAUUGUUGAAAGGGAAGCGCUUAUGACCAGACUUGGACUUGGUUGAUCAUCCUGGGUUCUCCCUGGUGCACUCUUCCAGUUCAGGCCAGCAUCAGUUCAUCGCGGGGGAUAAAGGCUUCGGGAAUGUGGCUCCCUCGGGAGUGUUAUAACCCGUUGUGUAAUACCCUGCUU